UACGGUGGGGGCUAGCGUUGUUCGGAAUUACUGGGCGUAAAGCGCACGUAGGCGGACUGUUAAGUCGGGGGUGAAAUCCUGGGGCUCAACCCAGGAACUGCGUCCGAUACUGGCAGGCUUGAAUUCGGGAGAGGGAUGCGGAAUUCCAGGUGUAGCGGUGAAAUGCGUAGAUAUCUGGAGGAACACCGGUGGCGAAGGCGGCAUCCUGGACCGAUAUUGACGCUGAGGCGCGAAAGCCAGGGGAGCAAACGGG
rnacentral:rRNA from 1 species